GGAAGACAGGUUUCUACCUAGUAUAAGGAAGCCCUUUCUGACAACUAGAGGUCCCCAGAGGGCCCAGGUGAGAAAGUCACCAUCACUGAGGACCUCGGGCUGACACUGGAUCAGUAUCUAGGGGGGCCGCUGCCGAGGUUGGGAGAUUGGGUCCGUGACCCUGAGAUUCAAUGGUUUGGGGCACUUGGUAUAUCCAGAAGCAGGACAAGGCCUAGCAGCUGUUCACCAGCUGCCUUCCAUGUGGCCAUCUUGCAGUUUAUUCCCAGAUGGUCAGACCCCUCACCCUCCGAGGUCACAGGGCCAGCUGCAGGGGAGUGGGCCAGCCCUUCUUCGCUCUGGGAGCCCUCGGGCGGGCAGGACGCAGAGAGGAGGAGAGAGAUGAAGCCGAGAGCCCCUCUGGUGCGAGGCCACAGUUAACAGGCAGCUGGAAGGGAAAACAAAAGGAGUGACUGACGGGCACACACUCACCUGGCUUCCUACACAUCAGCAAGAUAUGUGUUUCUUGCCAAAGAGCAUCCGGGGAUCCCAGAGGUAAUUGUUUUCCCUGAGCCCACAUACAUAGUGGCUUUUUAUAUACUAUAUACUUUAUACUUUAUACUCUAGGGAUUUUUUUUCUCUUCUCUUUUCAGCCUGUGCACCACUCCUCCCCACCCCCCGGAGCGUCUUCUCUCCUCUUCUUCCCAGGCUAACAUCCUACCAUCUGCUCCCAAGAUGACCGAUAUUGCCCACCUUACUUCCCUGGGGAUGGAUGGGUCCAGGACUCAUCCCUCCCCCAGGUGCUAUAAUUUGAGGCGCUGCCCAGCUGGAAUGGACCCGGGGCCUCCCCAGGCUGCCCUCCCGCCACUGUGAGUUGGCUGGCCUCUGCCCUCUGCCCUCUUCUGCCAUUAACCCUGUCACCUGCCGGACAUCAGCCCCCGGGCCCAGUCUGUCAUCCGUGGCCAAAGAUGGAUGGGGGGCGGCUGGGAAGCAUAAGUGGCGACCCCUUAAUGAGAUCUGGCGGGGGAGGGCUGGGCUCUCCCAGGCAGCAGCAGGGCCAGGUUGGCAAUAACGGCCCUUGUUGAGCGUGACCCAUUUUGCUUCUGUGGA
rnacentral:lncRNA from 1 species